rnacentral:piRNA from 1 species
UGCCCUUACACUGAGUGUCCUUGGCAGAG